ensembl:ncRNA Y41C4A.28 ncRNA
AUAUCUCAAAAAUGGCAAGAGCUAUAAAAAAGUUAUAAACUAGCAAACUGUAGAAAAUUAAAUUUCCUACAUUUUCUUAGUUGACAACUUUUUAAUAGCUUUUGCCAUUUUUGAGAUAUGAAA